AUCCUUCGGGGUGAGCGGCAGACGGGUGAGUAACGCGUGGGGAUGUGCCUAGAGGUGGGGAAUAACUGUGGGAAACUACAGCUAAUACCGCAUAAGCCCUUCGGGGGAAAGAUUUAUCGCCUUUAGAUCAACCCGCGUCAGAUUAGCUAGUUGGUAGGGUAAUGGCCUACCAAGGCGACGAUCUGUAGCUGGUCUGAGAGGAUGAUCAGCCACACUGGGACUGAGACACGGCCCAGACUCCUACGGGAGGCAGCAGUGGGGAAUAUUGGACAAUGGGCGCAAGCCUGAUCCAGCCAUGCCGCGUGAGUGAUGACGGCCUUAGGGUUGUAAAGCUCUUUUAACAGGGACGAUAAUGACGGUACCUGUAGAAUAAGCCCCGGCUAACUUCGUGCCAGCAGCCGCGGUAAUACGAAGGGGGCUAGCGUUGUUCGGAAUCACUGGGCGUAAAGCGCACGUAGGCGGAUUGUUAAGUCGGGGGUGAAAUCCUGAGGCUCAACCUCAGAACUGCCUUCGAUACUGGCGAUCUUGAGUUCGGAAGAGGUUGGUGGAACAGCUAGUGUAGAGGUGAAAUUCGUAGAUAUUAGCUAGAACACCAGUGGCGAAGGCGGCCAACUGGUCCGAUACUGACGCUG
rnacentral:rRNA from 1 species